AGCGAACGCUGGCGGCAGGCUUAACACAUGCAAGUCGAACGGGCGUAGCAAUACGUCAGUGGCAGACGGGUGAGUAACGCGUGGGAACGUGCCUUUUGGUUCGGAACAACACAGGGAAACUUGUGCUAAUACCGGAUAAGCCCUUACGGGGAAAGAUUUAUCGCCAAAAGAUCGGCCCGCGUCUGAUUAGCUAGUUGGUGAGGUAAUGGCUCACCAAGGCGACGAUCAGUAGCUGGUCUGAGAGGAUGAUCAGCCACACUGGGACUGAGACACGGCCCAGACUCCUACGGGAGGCAGCAGUGGGGAAUAUUGGACAAUGGGCGCAAGCCUGAUCCAGCCAUGCCGCGUGAGUGAUGAAGGCCCUAGGGUUGUAAAGCUCUUUUGUGCGGGAAGAUAAUGACGGUACCGCAAGAAUAAGCCCCGGCUAACUUCGUGC
rnacentral:rRNA from 1 species